rnacentral:rRNA from 1 species
GGCGGACGGGUGAGUAACGCGUAAGAACUUGCCCUUUAGACUGGGAUAACAGAGGGAAACUUCUGAUAAUACUGGAUAAGUUAGUAUAUGCAUGAUAUGCAAAUGAAAGCUACGGCACUAAAGGAGAGCUUUGCGUCCUAUUAGCUAGUUGGUAAGGUAAGAGCUUACCAAGGCGAUGAUAGGUAGCCGGCCUGAGAGGGUGGACGGCCACAAGGGGACUGAGAUACGGCCCUUACUCUACGGGAGGCAGCAGA